rnacentral:sRNA from 1 species
GUUCAAAUGCUCAGCUGUUCUGGUGCCCGUUAUUUCCCCUAGGCAGCCAGUGACUGACUGGAGUCAGCAGAUUUCUGCAAAUGAGAAUAGCCUGGCAGUCCGUUCCACCCCUGCUGAAGAUGACUCCCUUUCAGGCACCUGCAAGAGAGACCUGCGUGGAAUGUCAGAAGACAGUCUAUCCAAUGGAGCGUCUCUUGGCCAACCAGCAGGUGUUUCACAUCAGCUGCUUCCGUUGCUCCUAUUGCAACAACAAACUCAGUCUAGGAACAUAUGCAUCUUUACAUGGAAGAAUCUAUUGUAAGCCUCACUUCAAUCAACUCUUUAAAUCUAAGGGCAACUAUGAUGAAGGCUUUGGGCACAGACCACACAAGGAUCUAUGGGCAAGCAAAAAUGAAAACGAAGAGAUUUUGGAGAGACCAGCCCAGCUUGCAAAUGCAAGGGAGACCCCUCACAGCCCAGGGGUAGAAGAUGCCCCUAUUGCUAAGGUGGGUGUCCUGGCUGCAAGUAUGGAAGCCAAGGCCUCCUCUCAGCAGGAGAAGGAAGACAAGCCAGCUG